rnacentral:lncRNA from 10 species
GAAAAAUCCAGUGGCUGCUGGUUAGAACGCGCUUGUUAAUGGCAGCAGGCAGCCAGCUGGCUGGUGCCUGCCCGGGUGGGGUGGCAGAGGAAGCAGCUGUUUUGGUCUUUGAACCACAGCUUGGGACUUAUGGAAGAUACGUAGCUCGCAUAUCUCUAUGGUCUUUUUCUGGCUUAUAGAAAACAGUUCACCUUGCUGGUGGGGAGAGAAAGGGUGCAGCGUGCGGGGACCUGGGCUGGUGGGAAAAGCAGUCGGGUUAUUGUUCGUGUGCUACAAAGGAUGAGGAAUUCAGUCCCCAGGAUCCACGGGAGGAGCUGGCUGAGACCCUGGGGCCCGGCCUUCUUCCCAAGAGUCCAUUUUCCCCUUGGAUUAACUUACUUUAUUGUUUCUACCGUCCCAUGACUUCUGAGCACUCUGGGAGGCUGAAGCGGGA